rfam:Vigna radiata var. radiata cultivar VC1973A chromosome 6, whole genome shotgun sequence
UGGGAGAAUCUGUAAAGCUCAGGAGGGAUAGCACCUUCAACCUGAUGAUGCUGUUUAUGUUCAUAGCAGCAUAUAUUUGGCGCUAUCUAUUCUGAGCUUCAUGGCUUCUUCUU